GUGGUAAUGCCGGAUGCUCCGGUUGGAUGCAUGUCCUUCCGGGAAAGGUUCCAUCGGUAUGGGAUGGGGUCGCGUCCUAUCAGCUUGAUGGCGGGGUAACGGCCCACCAUGGCUUCGACGGGUAGCCGGCCUGAGAGGGCGACCGGCCACAUUGGGACUGAGAUACGGCCCAGACUCCUACGGGAGGCAGCAGUGGGGAAUAUUGCACAAUGGGCGCAAGCCUGAUGCAGCGACGCCGCGUGCGGGAUGGAGGCCUUCGGGUUGUAAACCGCUUUUGAUCGGGAGCAAGCCCUUCGGGGUGAGUGUACCUUUCGAAUAAGCACCGGCUAACUACGUGCCAGCAGCCGCGGUAAUACGUAGGGUGCAAGCGUUAUCCGGAAUUAUUGGGCGUAAAGGGCUCGUAGGCGGUUCGUCGCGUCCGGUGUGAAAGCCCAUCGCUUAACGGUGGGUCUGCGCCGGGUACGGGCGGGCUGGAGUGCGGUAGGGGAGACUGGAAUUCCCGGUGUAACGGUGGAAUGUGUAGAUAUCGGAAA
rnacentral:rRNA from 1 species